rnacentral:rRNA from 1 species
AACGAACGCUGGCGGCAGGCCUAACACAUGCAAGUCGAACGGGAGUUUAUUUAUAGCAAUAUGAGUGAACUCUAGUGGCGAAAGGGUGCGUAACACGUAGCUACCUACCUCGAAGUUGGGGAUAGCUCGGCGAAAGCCGGAUUAAUACCGAAUGUGAUCGUGAGAUCAAAGCUGGGGAUCGUAAGACCUGGCGCUUUGAGAUGGGGCUGCGGCCUAUCAGGUAGUUGGCGGGUAAUGGCCCACCAAGCCUAAGACGGUAGC